GGGGAAACCCUCGCGGCAGCGCGAAGCGCGACUUGACUCUGAGGGAGCAAAAAGAUGGAGCCGCCAAACGCACAAGGGGAACGAGUGCCUGGAGACUUUCUCGUUGUUAAAAGUCAACCUUACAUUCUUCAGCCUUGGAAGAGGCAUAAUUUUGGCUUUGACAGAGUAUUUGUUCAGCUUCUGACAGUGGGUUUGAUACUGUAAAAUACCUGGGAAGGCGACUUAUGGUAAAAGCAAAGACAUAAAGAUAUAAGUGCAGCAGUAAAAGAACAUGGCUUGGUAAAA